CACAUUGGCGAGCCACUCCGGGUAGGAUAUCUCCCGGAUGAAGCCAGCUUCAAGGAGCUUGUCGACCUCCUCGGCUGCUGCUCGCUGUCGCUCAGGGGCGGCGCCUCGCUUCUUUUGUCGCACGGGCUUGCAGGUUGGCUUUACUUGAAGCCGGUGAACCAUGAUCUCUGGAUCUAUUCCCGGCAUAUCCGCGGGCGACCAUGCGAAGACAUCCAUGUUGUCUCGCAAGAAGUUGACGAGGCGAUCCCUCUC
rnacentral:lncRNA from 1 species